GCCUAAGUGGCUCAGUUGGUUAAGCGUCUGACUUUUGAUCAGGUCAUGAUCUCAUGGUUUGUGAGUUCAAGCCCUGCAUCAGGCU
rnacentral:tRNA from 1 species